GGGACGUAGCCAAGUGGAUUAAGGCAGUGGAUUGUGGAUCCUCCAUUCGC
rnacentral:tRNA from 1 species